GAUGAACGCUGGCGGCGUGCCUAAUACACGCAAGUCGAGCGAACAGACGAGGAGCUUGCUCCUCUGACGUUAGCGGCGGACGGGUGAGUAACACGUGGAUAACCUACCUAUAAGACUGGGAUAACUUCGGGAAACCGGAGCUAAUACCGGAUAAUAUAUUGAACCGCAUGGUUCAAUAGCGAAAGACGGUUUUGCUGUCACUUAUAGAUGGAUCCGCGCUGCAUUAGCUAGUUGGUAAGGUAACGGCUUACCAAGGCAACGAUGCGUAGCCGACCUGAGAGGGUGAUCGGCCACACUGGAACUGAGACACGGUCCAGACUCCUACGGGAGGCAGCAGUAGGGAAUCUUCCGCAAUGGGCGAAAGCCUGACGGAGCAACGCCGCGUGAGUGAUGAAGGUCUUCGGAUCGUAAAACUCUGUUAUUAGGGAAGAACAAAUGUGUAAGUAACUAUGCACGUCUUGACGGUACCUAAUCAGAAAGCCACGGCUAACUACGUG
rnacentral:rRNA from 1 species